rnacentral:misc_RNA from 1 species
AAGAGUUUAUAGACUUUGGUCUACUACUCCACCCUUUGUUUACAAUACCAUUGUUGCUUUGGCAGGCCCGUCGUAAGACAACCGGCUUCGGCUGGUUAGUGCCUGCCAGAGGACCUAAAACUCAUGUUUAUAAUAUUGUCUGAGUACUAUAUAAUAGUUA